UUUAUUCACUAUCGCUUGUGUGUUCUGCAUUGUGGGUUCUAUCAUUAGAUCGUACUACAUGACAGAACGAUCUGGCCAACAUGAACCCCGCAGACGCCAACCCGGAAGCAGCACCUUCACUAUCGAUAUUCACUAUCGCUUGUGUGUUAUGGAUGUGCGUCGCCGUGGGAGGGGGUUCUAAUACCUCGUGGAUUGGGAGGGAUAUGGCCCUGAGGAGCGGUCCUGGGUUCCUCGCUCCCGCAUUCUCGAUCCUAGGAUCUUGAAAGAAUUUCACCAGGCUCACCCGGAGAAAGCUGGUGGGUCGCCAGGAGGCUCCCGUUGAGGGAGGUGGUAGUUUGCCACCUUAUCUCCUCCAGCCCUGUGUUCUCUGUUGUUUUCCUCUCCUUGAUGUGUCUUGUGUGUCCUCCAACGUAUCCUUGGAUGUGUAUGUGUGUGUGUAUGUCACCUGGUCUGACUCCGUGGGUUCCACACCUGCUGCUGAUCACUGGCUCACCUGGCUUCAAUCAUUCAUCAGUCUCCACAGUUAAAUACCAGGCUCUCCCACAACACCAACACCAGAUCUUCCACGAUUAUUCUGUGCCGGUGAUUUCAGUCGUCUUUGUUCCUGCCUGGAUUUCUGUUUGCCUGCCUGCCUCGCCUAUACUCCACUGUGCUUCUUCCCAUCUACCUAUCCAUGGAGCCAGACCCAGGGAAACGGUCCUGCUCUGUGUUGGUGUUCAUGCUGACGGCCGUCUCCUCUCCCUGCCACCAGUCUACACACUAAGGUUACCAUUAACUUUCUGGUUCCUACGAAGACAACACGGAGAACUCCGCUCCGAAGAUCUUACCCCUUUCCCCUCCACCUUGUGCUUGUCAAUAAAGAGUGACUUUAUUAACUAUC